AAUCCCGCUGCUGCCACUGGCUGGAGACCUCUGAUGCUUCUUUACACCCCGGGUUGGACAUCUUCCCCCACCUACUUCUGGCGCUUCUUCUGGUGGGCCGGCCUGUCUUUGGAUUCUUGAGAUGUAUGGGUUCUUCCUACCUCCACCCUCUGUCCGAGCUUAGAAUCAGCAGCCCUGCAGCCCCCUGUCAGUCCACAUCCUUGAAUUUAAUCUGUUUAUCAUCCAUAAUGCAAUCUCCAAUCCAAGUCUAAGUUAUUCUCGUAACUACCUUGGCCACAUUGACAACCGUAAAUUCUCCUUCCCACGUGGCAGCCUUGAAUUGUGGGGAACUUGAUGGCACCUCACAGUGUCAGCAGUGCAGCACAGCAUGGGCGGAGAACAUGUAGCAAUCCCUGCAUUGAACAAAUUCACACUGGUGCUUCGAAAUUGGAAAUGGUAUAGGUAUUAACACCACGGAAAUCAGAAAAGGCUUGGUUGGAGUCAUCUGAGAAGAGGGAACCCCAGCUGAGAAAAUUCCUCCAUAAGAUUGAACUGCAGAAGAGACUGUGUGUUCUUAAUUAGUGAUUGAUAUGGGAGAGCCCUGCCAAUUGUGGGUGGAGUCAUCCCUUCGUUGGUGGUCCUGAGUUCUGUGAGAAAGCAGGUUGAGCAAGCCAUGGGGAGCAAGCCAUCAACCCCCUUUUAGAGUGUGGAACACCAGAGCAGGUGCCGUAUAGACUGCGACGGCAGUAAUUGCCAAGUCUGACAAAGAGAGGAAGAACGGUGGUUCUGUGCUCAAAUGCCAGAAGAGAACGGAAACAAAUAAUCUUGGGUGCAACGAUCUGCCCUUGAGAGUUCAGCCACCAAAGUCCAGCCAUGGAUGUGUUUCCUGUGAUCCUGACCAUGUGACUCGAUUGCGCUUCCUCACUUCCAUUAUUGUUGGUUCAGCAGAAAGUAUUUUAAAACUAGUUUAUCUUUGACAUGGCCCCAGGGUCUGAUAAUACUGCUGCCAUAAUAACAAAGGUAAAUGAGAGGAAGUUUUGUUCAGUGAGAAGAUCACUUAGUUUGUACCGUGGAGCUCUGCUGCUUCUAGUCCCUCUAAGAUUCAAAUACACCUCAAUUAUCCAAACUUUAUACUGUUUCCAAAAAAAUAAAAAUAAAAUGUAUGCUUGUGUUUAUUCUUCC